CUGAUUAGUAUCUUUUCAAUGACGUUACUUGUUUUUCUGUCUGUGAUAUCAAAUUGAUUCAAGUUGCAACAUUGGGUCGACGAAAUAAAUUUGAUUAAUGUUUGACUCUGACGUCUUGAUUAAUCAGAGUUUGAAAGGGAAUGAAACAGACAAAUGAAAAGCCGAUACGGAUAUCAUUUCAACCAUCCACCAUUUCUGAAGUGCUUGUGAAGAUGUACUUAUUUCCAAAGCUGCUUGAAGAUGCUUUCACAACAACGUUGGUGGUGAUGUUGAUCAUACUAAAACAGUUCAUUAAUCCUUUGUUUUUGAUCUGGACUUGUGGCCUGACAUAACAACGCAACAAAUCACUGGAUACUAUCAAACGAGAGACGAUCAACAGAGUGACCUUGAGUUGCGAGUAGGUAACAGUAGCAAUACGUUCGAUCAACUCAACACUCAACUGGGAUCAUAUCAAUCACAUCUGGAACACGGGUCGCGCGCAGUGAAACCACCGCGGAAGACCCACAAGCUUGAGGCGCGUGCAGUGUCGGAAAGGGGGUGGGGGUUCAAGGGGGGGGCUCGGCUGCCCCCUGCCCCCUUUCUGCGUGUGUUGGCGGCAAUUUGGUUGGUUCAGCCAUCCACGAAUCGUGAUCGCGGGGUUGAUGCCUUCAUCCAUGGAGCCAACAACUUCCUUCAUUUCUAUGAUGCAUUGUAGCCAAUAAAGAGAUAUUUGCUUUAAAACUAUU